rnacentral:misc_RNA from 1 species
CAAGCCCUGCUUGGUGUUGGGUGCCGGCACGCGCGCCUCCGGCGCCCGCCGCCCCCGAAAUGAAUUGGCGGUCUCGUCGCAGCCUCCCUCGCGUAGUAGUAAAACAUCUCGCUUGGUGGAGUGCGGCGCGGCCACGCCGUAAAACCUCUUAAUUUUUUUAAGUUGACCUCGGAUCAGGUAGGAAUACCCGCUGAACUUAA